rnacentral:lncRNA from 1 species
CAAAUAACACAUUCCUUACUCCAAUUUCGAAUAUGUAACUAGCUUCCACUAAAUGUUGCUAAUAUAUGAUUUUUGGCUGGAAAAAAAAAGAACAGAUCAAUGUAUGUGAUCACAGGAUACAUAGGCAUCGAAUACAGCAGCCCAACCUUAGCCUCCGCCAUAAACAAUAUCACUCCUGCUCUUACCUUCAUCCUCGCCAUUAUCUUCAGGUUUUUGUUUUCUUUGACUAAUUAUUAAGUUUUUGCUGAUUUCAAUUUUAGUUUUUCGGAUUAUUCUAGUCAACAAGUCGAAAUUGUAACCAUUCCAUUUCCGGCUAAUUUAAUUUUAAUAAUUAUAAUAGUUUUUUAUGUUAACCGAAAUUAAUUAAACUCAAAAGAACUAAUCCCGAAAGAUAUUGUUUACAUAUGUGAUGAAGCCGUUCGCUAUGAAUUUUUCGUGCAUUAUAAUAAAGUUCUUUAGAAUAAUUACUUCAAAGUUCCCCUAUAAUUUUUUCAAUUCGACUAUUUUUUUUUCCAUAAAUCAUGUUAGUUUUCACUUCACUAUAUUCAACACUAUAGUUUGCUAACCAAUUCUUUACCACUAGCCGCCUUACCCCUAUCCCACAACUGUCUCAUACUCUUAUCAGUAACUAGGUAAAUAAUCUAUAUUUAUGGUAAAUGCGUUUAAUAUGUUCUUCUUUCUUUCUUUCAAUGCAUACAUUAAUUCAGGUUUUCGGCAUCUAUAUUUAUGGCAAUUGAUAUGAAGAUUUAAGUUACUAUCGCACUAUUGCUCAAUCUUGUGGUCCAAAUCAUACAAGGCUGUUUGCAUGAAUGAAAUAAAUGCGUAUUAAUUGUGUUUGAUCAUUGAUUAUUUCUUAGCCUUCUUUUGGAAUAAACACUUAACACACUAAAUUUCAUUUUGUGAAUAAAGAAUGGAAAAAGUAUCUUUCAAAGAGAGGAGUAGUCUAGCCAAAUUGAUGGGGACGAUAUUGUCACUGAUAGGUGCACUUGUGGUGAUUUUCUACCACGGUCCACGUGUCUUCCUCGCAUCUUCUCCGCCCUAUGUAAACUUCCGUCAGUUUUCUCCACCGUUGUCAUCUUCAAACUCCGAUUGGCUCAUCGGUGGAGCUCUUCUAACCAUGCAAGGCAUAUUCGUUUCUGUUUCUUUCAUUCUUCAGGUACCAAUUUUUUUUCCUUAUAUAUAGUAGAAAUAAUUUUAAAUUUAUGGUUAAGUCAAAAAUUAGUCAUUAAAAAAGGUGGAAACAUACGAACACAUGGUUUAGAGUAGACCUAGGCGUUCAGAUAUUUGGUUCGGUUCUAGUUCGGUUCCAAUUCUUUCGGCUCUCGAGUUUAGGAUUCAUAUAGGAACUAAAACAGUUUUGGUUUGGUUUGGGUUCGGGUUCGGUUUUUUCGGUUCUGAAGUUUAAUUAGGACCCAUUCGGAUAUUUAUUUCAGAUAUUUUUUAGUAUUUUCGGAUAUUUUCGAGUAUUUUUGGAUAUUUUGGUAUUUUUAUAUAUUUUUCAACUAUAUUUUCGGUAUUUUUGAAUGUUCAAUCUAAAAAUAACUAAUAUUUUUGGAUAUAUAAUCAUAUUUAGAUAUUCUCGGAUACCCGAAAUAUUUCAGUUCGGUUCGGGUUCGGUUCCAAUUAUUUUGGUUCUAGAAUUUAGGAUUCAUUUGAGUAUUUUACCAUUUUGGUUUGGCUUCGGAUUCGGUUCUUUUUGCUUUGGUUCCAGUUCGUUUUUUUUUGGUUCGGGUAUUAUGCCCAUGCAUAGAGGGGUGAACUUUGGUUUUUGGUUGGAGAUGAUGUUAUAAUACAUGUGGGAAAACACAUAUCUUCAUUUAGUAAACAUCAUUUCAUUCUAAUAUUUAUUCUAUAUAAUGAUUUUUGGACAGGCACAUAUAAUGAGUGUAUAUCCAGCAGCAUUCAGAGUCUCCUUUCUUUACACUGUAUGUGUUUCAAUCGUGACCUCGACGAUUGGACUAGUAGUUGAAAAGAACAACCCAAGCGUUUGGAUCAUUCAUUUCGAUAUUACUUUGAUUACAAUUGUUACCAUGGUAUGUUAUAUAUAUAUAUAUAUUUUAAAGAUAUCAAAAUAUCUACUUUUUGAUCUUAACACUUUUUUAAAAAUAAAAUAUUUCAGGCAAUAGUAACUUCAGUAUACUAUGUGAUUCAUUCAUGGACAGUACGACAUAAAGGACCUCUGUACUUAGCCAUAUUUAAACCUUUGUCCAUUUUAAUAGCAGUGGUUAUGGGGGCCAUUUUUCUCAAUGAUUCUCUCUAUCUCGGAUGGUAUUAAUGAAUCAAUAGUCUUCAUAAACAUAUCUAUAAACAAAAACAUCUACUCACCUUCGAUUUUGUCCUUCGUUUUGCAGUUUGAUCGGAGGAAUUUUGAUAACAUUAGGCUUUUACGCUGUGAUGUGGGGCAAAGCAAACGAAGAGAAGGAUCAGUUAUCAUUUUCAGAAAAAGAGAAAACGCCUCUUCUAUUAAACCGCAAAAACGACCAAGUUUAAAAAGAAAAAGAAUAUAGACAAUAAAACUACUAAUAGUUAACAAAUACUGUUAUUAAUACCAUAUUUAUAAAAUUGUCUUAUGUCUCUAUGAACCUAGGAGUUGGAAAAAAAUGUGUGUAUUUAGAUUUUUUUUUCAAAAUACUCCAACAUUUAUAAAUACGAGUUAACAUUUUUCCUUGACUCCUUUGGAACAUAUGAAAAGCUUAAAUUGAUAUUCUUUGAAGCAAUGAUAGGUAACUGCACCAAGUAUAUAUCCCGGUAUAGUCACACAUCCCAAGUUUAGUGAACUACACGAAUUAUGUGUAUUGUAUGCUAAUGUAUACCAAUUAGUAACAUAUGAUCAACACCAUCAUAUUCCUUUUACACCGUUUGUCAAAUCCAUUUUUAAAACCACUUUUGGUGAAUUACGCCGUAGAAAAACAAGUCUAACACAUUGUAACAUUUUGAAGUGGUAAUAAAAUUUCUGAUUCAAGGUUUCAAUAUCUAUAAUUAUUGAAGUGGUUUCAAUAUCCAUUAUUGGAUGAUCAUAUUUUGGCACAACUGUUUUCAAGUCUGCGCAAAGAAUAGGGAAUCUUAUAAUAAAUUCAAGAAACAACAAUUAUUGGACCCACAAUACACCACUUCCCCUCUAACUAGUACUAUCAUAAAUGAAAAGCAAACAAAUUAAGCGAUAACAAAUCAAAGACUCACAUUUCAACACCAAACCUUUCUACCAUUUCCAAUGGCCGGAGCAGUAAGCCUUUGGCGGAGAGAGGCCGUGUUCUUGACGGCGAUGCUGGCAGGCGAAACCAGCAUCGUCGGACUAAGUACUCUGUUUAAGGUAGCAACUUCAAAGGGACUCAACAUUUACCCUUUCCUCAGCUAUUCUUAUCUUCUUGCUUCUCUUCUCCUUCUUCCUUCUCUGUUCUUCACCAACAGGUUCAAAUAACUUUAAUCUUUCUAUGACCAUUCUUUUGUAUAGAUUUUUAUUUAAUUUGUAUGUUUUAAUACAGGUCAAGAUCACUUCCUCCACUAAGUGCCUCAAUACUCUCUAAGAUUGGACUUCUUGGCUUUCUAGGGUAAUAUCCAAAUACAACAUUCCUUCUUCCAAUAUUUUUUAUGAAAUUAUCAUCCACUAAACUGUUGCUAAUAUAUGAUCUUUGGCUGAAAAAAAUUCAAAACAAAAAAAGAACAGAUCAAUGUAUGUUAUUACAGGAGGCAUAGGCAUCGAAUACAGCAACCCAACCUUAGCCUCCGCCAUAGGCAAUAUUGUUCCUGCUCUUACCUUCAUCCUCGCUGUUAUCUUCAGGUUUUAUUUUAAUUCAUUUUCCUAAAAGUUUUGCAGAUUAAUGUCUAACCAUCGAGUCGACAUUCUAACAAAGUUUCUGGCAUAAUUAGGUUAUUAGGCAACUUAAAUUGGAAGUAGUUUCUUUAAAUCAGUCACUUCAAAUUAACUUGUCCGAUGGUUUUAAUUCAGUUCAACGCAUUAUGUUGCUAACCAAUGCUUUUUUGCUAUCAGCCGUCUUACUUAAUAUAGAACUUAUGUUGCUAACCAAUACUUUUUGCUAUCAGCCGUCUUACUUAAUAUAGAACUUGAACUUUUUUUUCUACCAGAUGUACAUUUUCAAAUAUAUUUAUUUGGACCAUUUAAGAUAUACUAAUAAUAUAUCUAUGCGAGCAAAACGAACACUGUUAAUUUUAUCCGGGAAAUUAAAGACAAUAGAUUCAAGAAAGCGGAAUUUCUUAGUGGUCAAGAUAAGCUCAAAGAUCACUUCUAACUAGCUUGAGUAGCAAGUUCGGGUUUGUUGUAGAGUAAACUUAAGCCUAGGGUUCUUGAGUAGAGAAUUGUGGACCCUUUGGUUGGCCUAGCUCCCUAUUUAUACCUUCAGGGUGUCGGUUCUUCGAUAUGGCAUGUUUCCAUCAUCUUCGGAGGAGAAUAUUUCCAUUGUCCGAUUUGUUACUUUUUGUGUAGAUUCGAGUUUACCUUUCAAGAUUUUCCUCUCUAGCUAGUACCUAGGUCGGUCUCCGAGGUAAUCGAGGUCGAGCUAGUCAGGCUUAGGCCUCCAAAUCAGAUUCGCUAUUGGACCAAGUAGUUCAAAAUACUGAAUGGUUUAUUCUUGUUUAAAAUCAGGUUAAGUACUGGAUAGAGCUAAUUAAAUCACUCUCCUACAAUAUCCAAUGCGC